CAGCAGCCGCGGUAACACGUAGGUGGCAAGCGUUGUCCGGAAUUAUUGGGCGUAAAGCGCGCGCAGGUGGUUUAAUAAGUCUGAUGUGAAAGCCCACGGCUCAACCGUGGAGGGUCAUUGGAAACUGUUAAACUUGAGUGCAGGAGAGAAAAGUGGAAUUCCUAGUGUAGCGGUGAAAUGCGUAGAGAUUAGGAGGAACACCAGUGGCGAAGGCGGCUUUUUGGCCUGUAACUGACACUGAGGCGCGAAAGCGUGGGGAGCAAACAGGAUUAGAUACCCCAGUAGUCCCUGUCUCUUAUAA
rnacentral:rRNA from 1 species